rfam:Triticum urartu cultivar G1812 contig1229839, whole genome shotgun sequence.
CAUAUACUCCCUCCGUCCCGAAUUACUUGUCGCAGAAAUGAAUGUAAAUGUAUGUACAUUCAUUUCUGCGACAAGUAAUUCGGGACGGUGGGAGUAUUUG